AUACUCUGGUUUCUCUUCAGAUCGCAUAAAUCUUUUGCCUUUUACUAAAGAUUUCCGUGGACAUUUCCAAGUAGAAAUCCAAAGGGUUAAACUUUUGUACACAGCCCAGCUGUCA